CACAGCCUCUGACUGCUCAUUAUAGGUUGGUUCGUCUGCAAGCCCAAGGGUGGAAGAGACUGAGGAUGGAAGCCAGUGAGGGCAGAGCUGCAGGAGAGGGAGAGAGACCUCACCCCCUUAGCGGAGAUUCCCAGGCUUUUACUCUUGGGUCUCGGGGGCCCUUCGAGCUCUCAGAGACUGUGAUUCUGCAGAUUGAGAUCUUGAAGGACCAGGGCCUUGACUGGGAGGAAUUACAACAGAGUCCAGUGAUGCAAGGCUUUGACCAGCUCUUGGUCCAGAGAGAUUCUUAAGGAAAUCAAAUGUCCUUCAGAUUUUCUCUGAUGCUUGUGUACGAGGAAUUUUGCUCUUGAAACUUUUUAUCAUCUUGCCUUCUGUAGUCAUGGAUUCCUUGCUGUUCCCCCAGCAUGUCCAAGGGUAGAUCCUUGUGUUAUUUUCUAAGUCCUUUUAAACUGUACUUGUCCUGGGAACUCAGUAGUUGGUCCUCUUCUUCUCUCCUCCUCGGGUACCAUCUCAGAAAUCCCCUCUAGUGCCAAGGUUUCAACGAAUCACCCCUGUGGAGAUGAAACUUGGGUGCUGGCUUGUAUCUCCCACCGGGAUUAUUGAUAGAGCCUCCUAACUGGUCUCCCAGCCUCCAGCUGUACUGAGACGUUCAUACACACCCCAUUCUCAUUCAUCCUCCUCGCCCUCUGCACAGUUCUUUCUAAAUACACGUGUGAUGAUCUGUCAUUAUCAUACUUAAAGUCUCAACAAUUCACCCCCAUUUUUAGAAUGAAACUAACAUUGCCAGUGUGUCAUACAAGCCCUCUCAUAGCUCAGCUCUAGAUUAUCUGUCCCUUUCAGUUCUUGCCAUGCCCGGACUGGACUGAACUAUUUUCUUUCCCCCUGCUCCAUACCUUUCUAGUUUCUCUAACCAUAGUCUUUUAUUCCCCUCAACAAUUUAACCUCUAAAAAACCUGGGUUCAAAUCCUGUGUCUCCAAUUUACCAGCCAUGCAAGUUAAUGCAUAAAUUUCUCUCUCUCAGUUUCCUCAUCUGUGAUGGUGAUAAUACCUACCUCAUAGAGUUGAUGUAGGGAGGACGUUAUAUUAAUGAAACAGACUGUUGAAAGUGUUAAAGGGACAGACUG
rnacentral:lncRNA from 1 species